GAUGAACGCUGGCGGCGUGCCUAAUACAUGCAAGUCGAGCGAACAGAUGAGGAGCUUGCUCCUCUGACGUUAGCGGCGGACGGGUGAGUAACACGUGUAUACCCUACCUAUAAGACUGGGAUAACUUCGGGAAACCGGAGCUAAUACCGGAUAAUAUAUUGCACCGCAUGGUUCAAUAGUGAAAGACGGUUUUGCUGGCACGUAUAGAUGGAUCCGCGCCGCAUUAGCUAGUUGGUAAGGUAACGGCUUACUAAGGCAACUAUGCGUAGCCGACGGGAGAGGGUGAUCGGCCACACGGGAACGUGGACACGGUCCAGACUCCUACGGGAGGCCGCAGUAGGGAAUCUGCCGCAAUGGGCGAAAGCCUGACGGAGCAACGCCACGCGAGUGAUGAAGGUCUUCGGAUCGUAAAACUCUGUUAUUGGGGAAGAACAAAUGUGUAAGUAACUAUGCACGUCUUGACGGUACCUAAUCAGAAAGCCACGGCUAACUACGUG
rnacentral:rRNA from 1 species